rnacentral:lncRNA from 10 species
AGUUCCCGGGCUUAGUGACCUGGAAAUCAGCCUCAGGUACAUGGGUCAGAAAGGAGCAGAAAACAAGGGGUGGAAUACAGAUGCUGGAAAGUGGCACAUCAUCUUGGGGGCAGGUGUGCACACACUGGGCUGGGCCCUGACCUGCUAUUGAUCCUUUUCAUUGGCCUCCCCAAAUACACUUUAAGGUCAUUGGCUGCAGGAACCCUGUGUCAUUCUUCUCUGGGUCCUCUGUUUUAUCUAACUAAAAAGAUAACUGUUUUAUCUAACUAAAAAGAUGCACUAGCAAGAAAAAGCUGAGUGGCACUGAAGUUUUCAUUCCCCCAUCUUUGGGCAGGAGAAGCCAGCACUGGUUUCUAGUGGCCCAAAAGGGAGAUUGUGUGAAGAAAGUCCCAGAAGGAGAGGAAAGUGAGGAAAAAGCUGUUGAAUGGGGAAGACCCAGACAGCUUGAGUUGAGGGAGGUUUGGAGCACUUCUCCCAGGAUGAUGGAGGGGCUAUCUUGUUGCUGGGUCUUGAGUGGAAUGAGGACCUAUUCUCUUGAAGCAGAAGGCGGCCAUCACAGGACAGAAAGACUGGAUGCCCACCACUGGGCACUGUGUCUCAGCUAAGACACCCCCCACCUCACUGUGCACGGCUGGCAGAAAAGCACCAGAGCUGUGGCCACUUAGGAGCCACAGGGACCUGGAUAAGGAACAUAUGAGGAGGGACGCCUAUGUUCCCAAGGCCAGAGGGCCUUCUCCCAAUGCUCUACACUUUUUUUAGAAAAUAGAGAUGGGGUCUCACUAUGUUGCCCAGACUGGUGUCAAACUCCUGGGCUCAAGUGAUCUUCCCUUCUCAGCCUCCCAAAGUGCUGGGAUCACAGGCAUGAGCCACUAUGCCCAGCCAAUGUUCUAGACUUUGUAAAACUAUCGACACCAUUGCCCAGUCCUUGGUGGAACUGGGGAUGAGGGAAAGCCCCAGGGAUGACUGAAAUGUAAUUUCCCACCAGCCUGACCAGAUGGUGUUCCCAGAAAAGUGAAUUUUGAUUUUGAAAAAAAAAAGUGACACUUCUUGGAGCCCUUGUUGAGGAAUGAAAUUCAUAUCCUCUGCAAAACACAAAGGGUUGUACACAUUGAGAGUAAGUGCUCAAUAAAUGUUUGUGGGUAAUGCUGCUUUGAGAUGAUGAUAGUGAUGGUGAUGUGCAGGAAGGGGGAGAGAGGAAGCAGUGUAACUGUACUAUAACAACUAUAACUAUAACUAAUAUGUGGGUUGCAUCACUUCAAGUAAACUUUGGACUGUGUGCGGUCAUUCAUGCCUAUAAUCCCAGCACUUUGGGAGUCCAAAGCCGGAGUAUCACUUGAAGCCAGGAGUUCAAGACCAGCCUGGGCAACAUAGUGAGACCCUGUCUCUAUCAAAAAUUUUUUUUUAAAAAAUCAAACUUUGAACUUUUCUGUGCGGGUCAGCCUCUCCCUAGCACAUUCUAAGUUUGCUGCUACCCAGGUCACUUAGUGUCCAUUCAGAGAAUCUAAACAGUUUUAAUAUUAGGCCAAAGAAAACAGCACUUUGGGAGGCCAAGGCGGGCAGAUCAUGAGGUCAAGAGAUCAAGACCAUCUUGGCCAACAUGGUGAAACCCCAUCUCUACUAAAACACAAAAAAAUUAGCUGGGCGAGGUGGUGCACGCCUGUGGUCCUAGCUACUCGGGAGGCUGAGAUAGGAGAAUUGCUUGAACCCAGGAGGCAGAGGUUGCAGUGAGCCUAGACCAUGCCAGGGCAACGGAGUGAGACUCCAUCUCAAAAAAAAAGCACACAUUAAGAGAAGAAAUUUGCAGCUGAAUCAUUACACCCAAAUAGAAAUGACUAGAAAUUGGAUCCUGAGACUGGACUUCCCAUGUUAUUGCUCUGUCUCCACCAAGGGUAUGUUAGGAAUGAGCUCGCCUCAGGUUUGCCAGCUGAUCACCCAACUACACAUCUCCUGGGGCACAGUAAAGGGACCGUGGAGCGGCAGGAGCCAUAAACACAGCUCUCCAAAAUCCGGGGACUCCAUUAGGGAGCAGCUCGCUGCUCUGUGAAGAGUCUCCAAAUUAAGCCCAAGACCCACCUCAAACUGUUCCCACCUUCUCUCCUAUAACCCCUGGCUACUUUCCCAUUCCAUUUGAAUGGGUCUGUGUCUUGCAGACCUUGCAUUCCAGCCUCCCUGCCUUUCCUUAGGUACUUUGAAGCCCCUCUGUCUGGGAUAUCCUCCCCGCUGCUCUUCCACUUACCAAAAUCUCAGCAGUCUCUCAAAGAAUGGCUUAAGACCCUUCUGGAAAGCCUUCUUCAACUGCCAAAGUCCAGAGAGAAUGCCUUGAAUGAAUGCCCCCAGCACCUGCUCUCUGCAGUCAUGCCUGGUGCAUCAGCUGGCCCAAGCUCUCUGACAUAGAGCUUGCUUAGACAGUUACCAAAUAACAGGUAAACCAAACUCAUAGGCUUCCUGGCCAGGGACACUCUGAUUUUUCUCUGCACCUCCUGCCCUGCACUCAGUAGAUGUUUAGUGUGUGCUUACUGGCUGAUUAACUGGUUAUGCUCUCCUGCGCAGGAGCAUGGGUUCAGGCUAGACCGCUAGAGGGAGGCAGGCAGCACCCGCGUUAAGACUUGAUACUUACGAAAACGACCACCUUCCACUCCCAGUGGCCCCAUCCCAGGCUCACUUCCAUUGGUCAUGUCACCACCAUCCUUUUAGGGAAUGGUAGGAUCUGGGCAACACCUAUUUACCCAGUGUCUUUGCUUUCAAACAAGGCUGUUUCUAAACCAUCCCAGACUGAGGAGGAUGGAUUUCAGAGCAGAGUUUCUAACAGCAACCUUCAUUCCCUGUAACCAUCCACUUUGGACAAGUGGCCCAGAAAGGGCCUGUGAACCCUGCCUGGAGACUGAGCUCUGAUCUCUCAUUUGUAAAGCAUAAAUCAAUUUCCCUAGAACAGAUGACCUGCAGGUAGCUCUAUCAUACGGUAGGCACAAAUGGAGGUGAACUUGGGACCCAGACCUUCUGGUUUUCUCUAGUUUUGGAAACAGAAAGACAGCUGGCCCUGAGCUCCACGAGGGUACCUGGAUAAAG